UACUCGAGCGGCGAACGGGUGAGUAACACGUGAGUAAUCUGCCCCUAGCUCUGGGAUAGCUCCGGGAAACCGGGAUUAAUACCGGAUACGACCACCUUAGACAUCUUUUGUGGUGGAAAGAAUUUCGGCUAGGGAUGAGCUCGCGGCCUAUCAGCUUGUUGGUGGGGUAACGGCCUACCAAGGCGACGACGGGUAGCCGGCCUGAGAGGGCGACCGGCCACACUGGGACUGAGACACGGCCCAGACUCCUACGGGAGGCAGCAGUGGGGAAUAUUGCGCAAUGGGCGAAAGCCUGACGCAGCGACGCCGCGUGGGGGAUGAAGGCCUUCGGGUUGUAAACCCCUUUCAGCAGGGACGAAGCGAAAGUGACGGUACCUGCAGAAGAAGCGCCGGCUAACUACGUGCCAGCAGCCGCGGUAACACGUAGGGCGCAAGCGUUGUCCGGAAUUAUUGGGCGUAAAGAGCUCGUAGGCGGUCUGUUGCGUCCGCUGUGAAAACUCGGGGCUUAACCCCGAGCCUGCAGUGGAUACGGGCAGACUAGAGGUAGGUAGGGGAGAAUGGAAUUCCCGGUGUAGCGGUGAAAUGCGCAGAUAUCGGGAGGAACACCGGUGGCGAAGGCGGUUCUCUGGGCCUUACCUGACGCUGAGGAGCGAAAGCGUGGGGAGCGAACAGGAUUAGAUACCCUGGUAGUCCACGCCGUAAACGUUGGGCGCUAGGUGUGGGAUCCUUCCACGGAUUCCGUGCCGCAGCUAACGCAUUAAGCGCCCCGCCUGGGGAGUACGGCC
rnacentral:rRNA from 1 species